UAAAGGAAGCGAUUCCGGCUACGGAUGGUCAUGCGUCGCAUUAGCUAGUUGGCGGGGUAACGGCCCACCAAGGCGACGAUGCGUAGGGGUUCUGAGAGGAAGGUCCCCCACACUGGUACUGAGACACGGACCAGACUCCUACGGGAGGCAGCAGUGAGGAAUAUUGGUCAAUGGCCGCAGGGCUGAACCAGCCAAGUCGCGUGAGGGAUGACGGUCCUAUGGAUUGUAAACCUCUUUUGUCAGGGAGCAAAGGGCGCCACGUGUGGCGCUUUGCGAGUACCUGAAGAAAAAGCAUCGGCUAACUCCGUGCCAACAGCCGCGGUAAUACGGAGGAUGCGAGCGUUAUCCGGAUUUAUUGGGUUUAAAGGGUGCGCAGGCGGAAUGUCAAGUCAGCGGUAAAAUUUCGGGGCUCAACCCCGUCGUGCCGUUGAAACUGGCGUUCUUGAGUGAGCGAGAAGUAUGCGGAAUGCGUGGUGUAGCGGUGAAAUGCAUAGAUAUCACGCAGAACUCCGAUUGCGAAGGCAGCAUACCGGCGCUCAACUGACGCUCAUGCACGAAAGCGUGGGUAUCGAACAGGAUUAGAUACCCUGGUAGUCCACGCAGUAAACGAUGAAUACUAACUGUCCGGGCAGAAUGAUGCCUGG
rnacentral:rRNA from 1 species